UUUGAAUAAACGAUCAGGCUUGAGAGUAUUUAUAGUGGAACCUUGGACACCCCAUUACACGAUCUUUACAUUCUAUUCGAGACGUCAGAGAUUUUGAUCAGCCAGAUAUCAACAUGAAAAUUAUUCUCAUCCUGAUGUUACUCACACUUUGCGGCGUGAGUCAAGCCACAGGAGCCCUUUGCGAGAAAGAAGGACAACUCUUCACUAUCGGAAACACAAAUGUCAUUUGGCCUCAAAGGUGUUACUGUUCGAAUGUAAAUGGAAAGGCAUUUUAUCACUGCACAGUAGAAAGGAAUUAAUAUUCUCUGGAGAAAUGAAUUUCCUUCACAUCUUUAAAACACUGAGAUGUA